AGCCAAUGACACUAACGGUUGCCCGCUUGCCCGGGGCAAGUAAAAUAUUUUUUUGGGCAAGUUGAGAUUUCUUCUGGUUGCCCGAACGGGCAAGUGGAUUUUGGGUGGAUGUUAAUAUUAAGGCUAUUUAUUCAAAUGUUUUUAGAAACUGCAGAACAACCUUUUGUUCCGCAAAAUCACACAAAAUAGAAGUAUUUGCAAUUGAUAGUCUUCUCUUCUCUCGGAAAGCGAGUUAACAGACACGCAUCGCUUUAGUGCGAAUAUAGCCCAGCCUUCUGUCACUCACUCGCAGUGCGGUCUCUGGCAUUGAUUCGCUAAAGAGAUUAUAUGUUUUUUAUUGGUCGUCAUGAAAAAAAACAUAAGGGGUAACACUGUCGUUUUUUAUUGGUCGUCAUGAAAAAAAACAUAAGGGGUAACACUGUUGUUUUUUAUUGGUCUUCAUGAAAAAAAACAUAAGGGGUAACACUGCUGUUUUUUAUUGGUCGUUAUAAAAAAAAAACAUAAGGGGUAACACUGUUGUUUUUUAUUGGUCGUCAUGAAAAAAAACAUAAGGGGUAACACUGUUGUUUUUUUAUUGGUCUUCACGAAAAAAAGACAUAAGGGGUAACACUGUUGUUUUUUAUUGGCCGUCAUGAAAUAAACAUAAGGGGUAACACUGUCGUUUUUAUCAAAUGAAACAUGAGGGGUGACACUGUUGUUUUUUAUUGGUCGUCAUGAAAAAAAACAUAAGGGGUAACACUGUUGUUUUUUAUUGGUCGUCAUGACAAAAAACAUAAGGGGUAACACUGUUGUUUUUCCAUUGGUCGUCAUGAAUAAAAACAUAAGGGGUAACACUGUUGUUUUUUAUUGGUCGUCAUGAAAAAAAACAUAAGGGAUAACACCGUUGUCUUUGUCAAAUAAAAUAUAAGUGGUAACAUAUUUGAAAAAAAUAAAUAAAUUGUCCUUGUCAAAUAAAAUAUUUUCAUCAGUCAUCAUGGCAAAAAAACAUAAGGGGUCGUUUUUAUCAAAUGAAACGUAAAGGGUAACACUGGCAUCGUUUUUUAUCUGUCGUCAUGAAAAACUCAUAAGGGGUAACACUGUCGAAAUGUAUCGAAUAAAACAUUGUUGGGGUAAUUGUAAUUAAACAUUAAAACACCUGCGAUUUAUAGUCCAGUGCGGCUUAUAUAUGUACACAUAAUUAAAUUUAUCUGCUGCGGCUUAUACUCCGGUGCGCCUUAUAGUGCGGAAAAUACGGUAUAUAUUACAUGAAAGCUGAGCCUCCACUUAUUCCAACAGUCCAAACCAUAUCAUUCUGUACUUAAAAUCGCAAAUAACAACUUAAGAAGAAACGUCCCCUUUUCUUUUAACAACCAAAAAUCAAGUAUUACCUUUGUGAUUUUUGUCCACAAAGUUGAUUCUGAUCGAAUAAAACCACCAUAAACAGUUUAUCCAGUGUCUGGGCCAAAUUUUGCAACUAAACAUGGUGUUUUCAAUCAAUGAAUAAGAGAAGGUUUCUUAGGAAAUAGGUAAAUUGCCUUCAAUCAGAAAACAUAUUUUUCAGCACAAUCUAGUGGCCAUAUAUUUAUUUGCGAGUGUUUGGCUUGUAUUGGUGCAUUCGAUUAUAUUUGCCCUGAACUUUAAAUAGAGGUGUCAAGUGUCAAAAUUGUAAGAUAUCUACCUUUAUUUGUGUCUCAUAGUAAGACAGCGCUCCCAACUGAUAACGACCAACUGAUAAUUAUUUCAGGUGGAAAUGUUAUCUUCCACUUAUGCUGUGUUCCAUGGCUUUAUUCACUUUAACCAAGUAUUAUCCCCAUUGAAUAUUUCACUUGCACACCAAUCUUUCUUUUGGCACAAAUAUGACAUUAUCGCCCUUGCAGUUGUGGAGAUAUACUCUAUUUACUUUGGGUAUGUUGUUUCCUGAAAAAAACUUUUCCCCUGAUAUCGAAAAUGGUAUAGAAUAUCGAUAUUUUUCCAGGUAUAGUGUCGAAGUUAGAAAAUCCAGUGUCGUGACUGACAACACUACUAGAAACACGAUUGUGAUUAUUCAGUUAGAGCUACAAGAAACUUGAAAUUUAAAAAAUACAUAUCUUUGCUACUACCUCUGACAUUUAGUUAUGUACAUUUGCAUAAAAUCAUGCAGGUCUACAUAUAUCUUGGCGAUAGCUUUAAUAGGUUGCAACGGUGGACUGAAAUCACUUCAUGGCACGAUGUGACCGCUCGAUAAAUAAGUAAACAAAGAGAAGUUUGUUAUUUUUUAAACACAACAUGUGUGGAAGCUAACAUUCAGCUUCAGUCUGAGCUAGGAUGAUUUUUCUGAGCCCCCCCAAAAC